rnacentral:rRNA from 1 species
UACGUAGGGGCCUAGCGUUGUCCGGAUUUAUUGGGCGUAAAGAGCUCGUAGGCGGUUCGGUAAGUCAGGUGUGAAAUCUCCACGCUCAACGUGGAGGCGCCACCUGAAACUGCCGUGACUCGAGUCCGGUAGGGGAGUGUGGAAUUCCCGGUGUAGCGGUGAAAUGCGUAGAUAUCAAGUGGAACACCAGUGGCGAAGGCGAGUCUCUGGACAUUUCCUGACGCUGAGGUACGAAAGCCAGGGGAGCAAACGGG